GAUGAACGCUGGCGGCGUGCCUAAUACAUGCAAGUCGAGCGACGCGUGGACGGGUGAGUAAAACGUGGAUAACCUCCUAUAAGACUGGGAUAACUUCGGGGAACCGUAGGUAAACCGGAUUCUUUUCGAUGGAUCCGCGGUGCAUUAGCUAGUUGGUAAAGGAACGGCUUACCAAGGAAACGAUGCAUAGCCGACCUGAGAGGGUGAUCGGCCACACUGGAACUGAGACACGGUCCAGACUCCUACGGGAGGCAGCAGUAGGGAAUCUUCCGCAAUGGGCGAAAGCCUGACGGAGCAACGCCGCGUGAGUGAUGAAGGUCUUCGGAUCGUAAAACUCUGUUAUUAGGGAAGCGGUACCUAAUCAGAAAGCCACGGCUAACUACGUGCCAGCAGCCGCGGUAAUUC
rnacentral:rRNA from 1 species